CUUCAAGUUUCCGAUGCACAUGAUGGUGCCAUUGCAAAGAGUGGCAUAUGCAACGUUGAGGUGGUUGGAUCAGAAGAAACAUUGGGACACACCAUCUAUAAAGUCUCACACGGGAUACUCUUCAACUACUCCAUGGGUGGGAAUCCACACGCAAAGGCAAUGGUCUUGUUUGACAAGCUAAGGCAUUACAAAUGGGAUGCAAAAGCAGUUUUAGUGCUAUCAGCUUUUGCAACAAACUAUGGUGAAUUUUGGCUCAUAAUACAGCUUUACCCUUGCAAUCCCUUGGCAGCAUCUAUUGCAUUGCUAAAGCAGUUGCCCAAGGACUUGUGCUUGUUGAAGCAUCUUUUUAAGGUCUUGAAUGUGUUGAUGAAAAUGAUUGUAGAUUUGACAAAGUGCAUCAUUGAGUUCGAAGAAUUGCCGGUGAAUCAUGUGAUCCUGGAUUGUGAGGCAAUUGGCACUACAAACUCUCAGAUCUACAUGGCUACUUACUGGAUCAUUAGAAGUGCCUUGAUAUGCUCUUCCCAAAUCAAAGACUUGAGAGCCAUGGAAAAUGUGCAAGUGCAUGUUCUUUCUCUUCAAUCUAGUCACCACAUGUUGAAUUCUGUUGUUUACUUUUAUCGUUUCUAUUGAAUAUUCAAGGGAUCACAAGAUAAUUAUGAAUGUGAUGAAUUCAAUUUAUUUCCAAUGAAGAAUAUUAAUUUUUGUGACUGGUAUUUUGUAUGCUAUAAUGAAGUAAUAUGUUUUUUUUUUUUUUUUUUUUUUUUUUGUUUUGUUUUUUUUACAGGAAUUCAAAUUCAGUAACCAUUGCUUCAUGGGACCUCUCAAGCUUGGUGGGUAGGUUGAGCACCAUAAGCAGUCACCUCAGGCGGUAGGUGGAUGCUUGUUAUAAGCUGAUAGAGACAAAGAUGCAUAACAAGCUCUUGGAUCUCUCUAAGGAGAGCCACAUUGAUAACCAAGAGGUGCUUGAGAUGUUGUUUGCUUUGAAGGAUAGCUUGCCUCUGAAGGAUUCUUCCUCCAAAGCAAAGCUUGCGUUGUCUGAACUGAAAAGCAAGGUAGUGAUACUCUUGGUCUCAAGGCCAGAGCUCCUCCCUAUAGAAGUGUUACUCUUGUUGGUGAAACAGAUGUUUGAUCAUCCUCACUGGGUGAAUUUACAAGAAAGCUAUGAAAUUGUAUGGGUUCCCAUUCCAUCAUCGGAUACGUGGACUGAUGUAGAAGAAUAGAAUUUUGGUUUUUUAUCAAACUCAUUACCAUGGUUUUCAAUUCGGUGACCAUGGUUACUCAGCUCACUAGUGGUGAAAUCCAUUAAACAAGCAUGGGAUUUCAAAGAGAAGCCCUUAAUGGUAGUAUUGGAUACACAAGGUAUGGUUACAAACUUAAAUGCAAUUUGACAUGGCCUUGAUCGGGGGUGCCAUGGCCUUUCCCUUUUCUACUUCAAGAGAAAAUGAGCUAUGGGAAGAAGAAACUUGGAAUCUCCAACUAUUACUUGACGGAAUUGAUCCUCUGGUAGCAAAGUGGGUAGAAGAGGACCAAAACCUUUGCAUUUAUGGAAGCAACAACAUAGAUUGGAUUAGAGAAUUCAAUGCUAAGAUGAGGAACAUGACAAGUGCAGGACUGCAACUUAAGAUGGUCUAUGUUGGCAAGAAAAAUUCAAGUGAUGAUCACAUGAAAAACAUUUUAGCUACCAUGUAUGAGGAAAAGCUGACAAGUUCUUUAACUUGCACGAAGAUUUAUUUCUUUUGGCUUCGGUUGGAGAGCAUGGGAAGAUCAAAACUCCGAUUAGGACAUACAGAUGAUCAUAAAGAUGAGAUUCUAAAAUAGUUGUCGGAGUUACUAGACACCAAUGAUGAGAGUGAAAAAGGUUGGGUACUACUGGGAAAAGGGUCUUCGACAGAGACUUUGAAGCUUCAAGGGAGAAAAAUUAUGGAAUGCUUGGAUCUUUUUCCAAUGUGGGGAGAAAAUGUGGCCAUGUUAGGGUUAGUGGGUGCGAUUACAACUGCAAUCGAACCACCUCUUCUUGUUGAGCCUUGCAGUCACUCUAAUAUUAUACAGUUUGUUGAAGGAUUGAAAGACACAAUAAUUUGUGAUAAAUGUAAGUGCCUCUUGGAGAAAUUUGUGGUCUACAAAUGUGAUGAAACUGAGUAGGGUGCCCUAUCCGAGCCUUAUGAGACUUAGACUCAAAAUUUGUGGUCUACAAAUAUGUAUAAGAGCCUUAUGAGACUUAGGCUCAACACAACUCAAAAUAUCUCCUGGAGAGAGAGCUUCUAGAGGAAGGAAGAAGAGAAAAGAGAGAGAGAGCAGAGGAGAACUCAACCUACAGCUUGGGGUUGAGGAAUUGAAAGGGGAAAAUCAAGAUUAUAGCUCAAGGCAAGUGUAAAUCAACUAGAAUACUCUAAAUCUUGCUUCAAUUGGCUAAAAUCAAGACUUAAAAUGAAGUUUUGACACUCAUAAAAGUUAGAGUUUAUGGAUUAUGAUCUUGAUUGAACACAUCUCAUAAAAAUGAACAUGCAAUCUUUGGGUUGUGUGAUUAAAGAGUUAAUUCCUUUAUUUUUAGUUUGAUUUCGGUUGGAUUGUGA